GAGCAACCUGCCCUAGGCUUUGGGAUAACCCCGGGAAACCGGGGCUAAUACCGAAUAUUCACUGUUGGCCGCAUGGCUGGUGGUGGAAAGUUUUUCGGCUUGGGAUGGGCUCGCGGCCUAUCAGCUUGUUGGUGGGGUGAUGGCCUACCAAGGCGACGACGGGUAGCCGGCCUGAGAGGGCGACCGGCCACACUGGGACUGAGACACGGCCCAGACUCCUACGGGAGGCAGCAGUGGGGAAUAUUGCACAAUGGGCGGAAGCCUGAUGCAGCGACGCCGCGUGAGGGAUGACGGCCUUCGGGUUGUAAACCUCUUUCAGCAGGGACGAAGCGCAAGUGACGGUACCUGCAGAAGAAGCGCCGGCCAACUACGUGCCAGCAGCCGCGGUAAGACGUAGGGCGCGAGCGUUGUCCGGAUUUAUUGGGCGUAAAGAGCUCGUAGGCGGCUUGUCGCGUCGACUGUGAAAACCCGUGGCUCAACUGCGGGCCUGCAGUCGAUACGGGCAGGCUAGAGUUCGGUAGGGGAGACUGGAAUUCCUGGUGUAGCGGUGAAAUGCGCAGAUAUCAGGAGGAACACCGGUGGCGAAGGCGGGUCUCUGG
rnacentral:rRNA from 1 species